rnacentral:rRNA from 1 species
UACGGAGGGUGCAAGCGUUAAUCGGAAUUACUGGGCGUAAAGCGUGCGCAGGCGGUUUGUUAAGUCUGUUGUGAAAUCCCCGAGCUCAACCUGGGAAUUGCGAUGGAGACUGCAAGGCUUGAAUCUGGCAGAGGGGGGUAGAAUUCCACGUGUAGCAGUGAAAUGCGUAGAGAUGUGGAGGAACACCGAUGGCGAAGGCAGCCCCCUGGGUCAAGAUUGACGCUCAUGCACGAAAGCGUGGGGAGCAAACAGG